CUGUGAGGGGAAUGGCUUACUAUCAUCGAGCUCUAAAGUUUCUAGCUUAUCUUGAUUCAGCAUCUGAGAUGGACAUUAGAU
rnacentral:snoRNA from 2 species